ensembl:rRNA 5S_rRNA 5S ribosomal RNA
GCCUACGACCAUAUCACCCUGAAUGCGCCCGAUCUCGUCUGACCUCGGAAGCUAAGCAUGGUCGAGCCUGGUGAGUACUUGGAUGGGAGACUGCCUGGGAAUACCAGGUGUUGUAGGAU